CAUCAUUUCAUGACAAAUAAAUGGGGAAACAAACAGUGACAGAUUUUACUUUCUUGGGCUCCAAUCACUGCAAGUGGUAACUGCAGCCAGGAAACUGAAAAUGUUUGUUCCUUGGAAGGAAAACUAUGACAAACCUAGACAGCAUGUUAAAAAGCAGAGAUGAUAUUUUGCCGACAAAGAUCCCUGUAGUCAAAGCUAUGGUUUUUGCAGGAGU